GGAAAGAUGAAAAGAACUUUGAAAAGAGAGUUAAACAGUACGUGAAAUUGUUGAAAGGGAAACGAUUGAAGUCAGUCAUACCAACGGGAAAUCAACCUUUUGAGCUCGGUCUUGUGGGUUUUGAAGAGUUUCAAAGCCUUCGGAUUCGCGGGAUUGGGAUCUCUUGGCGUACUUUUUCGUACGGUUAGUCAACAUCGGUUUUGAAUGUCAUAAAAUGACUGGAGGAAUGUAGCUUCGAUCUCGUAUUGAAGUGUUAUAGCCUUUGGUAGAUGUGAUGUUUGAGACCGAGGAUUGCAACGGAUACCUUUCAGGGCUAUUCGUCUGAUCUCUGAUACGUUGCCUUGAUGUUGAAAGCUUGCUUAUGAUGUUAGGGUAUUACGGUCAAAAGGUUAGAACGAAUUACAUUCGUUAAGGAUGUUGACGUAAUGACUUUAAACGACCCGUCUUGAAACACGGACCA
rnacentral:rRNA from 1 species